rnacentral:rRNA from 1 species
GCAUAUCAUAGCGGAGGAAAAGAAACUAACAAAAGAUUCCCUAGUAACGGCGAGUGAAGAGGGAAGAGCCCAAGAUUGAAAGCUGGCGUCUUCGGCGUCCGCAUUGUAAUCUCAAGAAGUGUUUUCCGCUUCGGACCAUGCCUAAGUCCCUUGGAAAAGGGCAUCAUAGAGGGUGAUAAUCCCGUACAUGGCAUGGAGCGCCCGAAGCUUUGUGAUACGCUUUCUACGAGUCGAGUUGUUUGGGAAUGCAGCUCAAAAUGGGUGGUAAAUGCCAUCUAAGGCUAAAUAUUGGGGAGAGACCGAUAGCGAACAAGUACAGUGAUGGAAAGAUGAAAAGAACUUUGAAAAGAGAGUUAAACAGUACGUGAAAUUGCCAAAAGGGAAGGGUAGGAGGUCAGAGAUGCGUCUUGGGAUUCAGCCUUGCUUUUUCGCUUGGUGUUUUUCCCAAGUUGCAGGCCAACGUCGGUUUUGGGCACUGGAGAAGGGUGGGAGGAACGUGGCACCUCUCGGGGUGUGUUAUAGCCUCCUACUGGAUACAGCGACCGAGACCGAGGACAGCAGCGUACUCGCAAGAGCGGGCCUUCGGGCACCUUUACGCUUAGGGCGUUGGCAUAAUGGCCCUCUACCACCCGUCUUGAAACACGGACCAAGGAGUCUAACAUGUAUGCGAGUCUUUGGGUGGCAAACCCAUAGGCGCAAUGAAAGUGAAUUCAGGUGGGAUCCGCAAGGUGCACCAUCGACCGAUCCUCACGUCUUUUAAGUCGUGGAUUUGAGUAAGAGCAUACCUGUUGGGACCCGAAAGAUGGUGAACUAUGCCUGAAUAGGGUGAAGCCAGAGGAAACUCUGGUGGGAGGCUCGUAGCGGUUCUGACGUGCAAAUCGAUCGUCAAAUUUGGGUAUAGGGGCGAAAGAUAUUCGAACCAUCUAGUAGCUGUCUGCA